AGAGUUUGAUCCUGGCUCAGGAUGAACGCUAGCUACAGGCUUAACACAUGCAAGUCGAGGGGCAGCAGGGAUUUAGCUUGCUAAAUCCGCUGGCGACCGGCGCACGGGUGCGUAACGCGUAUCCAACUUUCCCGUUACUCGGGGAUAGCCUUCCGAAAGGGAGAUUAAUACCUGAUGGUGUUUGAAAUUCGCAUGUUCUUCAAACUAAAGAUUUAUCGGUAACGGAUAGGGAUGCGUGACAUUAGAUAGUAGGCGGGGUAACGGCCCACCUAGUCUACGAUGUCUAGGGGUUCUGAGAGGAAGGUCCCCCACACUGGAACUGAGACACGGUCCAGACUCCUACGGGAGGCAGCAGUGAGGAAUAUUGGUCAAUGGUCGGAAGACUGAACCAGCCAAGUAGCGUGAAGGAUGAAGGUUCUAUGGAUUGUAAACUUCUUUUAUACGGGAAUAAAACCACCUACGUGUAGGUGCUUGUAUGUACCGUAUGAAUAAGCAUCGGCUAACUCCGUGCCAGCAGCCGCGGU
rnacentral:rRNA from 1 species